rnacentral:tRNA from 66 species
CGGGACUGACGGGGCUCGAACCCGCAGCUCCGC